rnacentral:tRNA from 2 species
GGUGUCGUAGCUCAGCUGGCAGAGCAGCUCAUUCGUAAUGAGCAGGUCGUGGGUCCGAUCCCCACCGAUACCUCCA